UUCAUUCAAGCUGUGGAGUAAUAUUACUCAAGUCUUUAUUGCACUUUUUUCUAUUACAGAUGAGAGAUUCUCACAAGGCACUCUGCUGAUUGGUUUAUCUUAAAGGCGAUGCUGGUGUUGCUCAUGAAAUUGUAUUUCCUUGGCCAUGUCUUUUAUGCUUCAUUCCUUGAAUCUGUGGAACUACAGUGUUAUCUGAGAUCAUGAUUAGGCUUACGUGGAUUGUCUGCUAGCAUCAUGUUUUGAUCAGAAGCAAGUUCAGCAUAUUUCCCAAUCAUUUCAUUUAAAAUUUCGACUGCUUGAGUGUAUGGAGCUUAUGCUAUUCCUUUUGGCUGAUACUUCUGGAUAUGGGAGGAGAGACUAUUUAGGUAAUGACUUGAGGGAUAAACUUGACAGAAGGCAUGUAUCUCCUCGAAGAAUACAGUCCUACGGGGUCUUUGGAGAAAACAAGGUAAAUUAACCAUGAACCACUGAUAAUUUUGUAUGCAUCUUUUAGUUUUUGUUGGCAUUUACUGUCUAUUAUUGUUC